AGGGGAGCUGGGCGGAGGGCCCGGCUGAGAGGACGGCGAGCGUCGACCCUUUGAACCUGAUCCAGGUAAUGCUGGCGGAGGGA
rnacentral:ncRNA from 2 species